GGGUGUCUAGCUCAGGGGUAGAGCGCUCGCUUCGCAUUAAGUUGCUUGCGAGAGGUCCAGCGUUCGAUUCGCUGGUCAUCCA